rnacentral:rRNA from 1 species
GAUGAACGCUGGCGGCGUGCCUAAUACAUGCAAGUCGAGCGAAUGGAUUGAGAGCUUGCUCUUAUGAAGUUAGCGGCGGACGGGUGAGUAACACGUGGGUAACCUGCCCAUAAGACUGGGAUAACUCCGGGAAGCCGGGGCUAAUACCGGAUAACAUUUUGAACCGCAUGGUUCGAAAUUGAAAGGCGGCUUCGGCUGUCACUUAUGGAUGGACCCGCGUCGCAUUAGCUAGUUGGUGAGGUAACGGCUCACCAAGGCAACGAUGCGUAGCCGACCUGGGAGGGUGAUCGGCCACACUGGGACUGAGACACGGCCCAGACUCCUACGGGAGGCAGCAGUAGGGAAUCUUCCGCAAUGGACGAAAGUCUGACGGAGCAACGCCGCGUGAGUGAUGAAGGCUUUCGGGUCGUAAAACUCUGUUGUUAGGGAAGAACAAGUGCUAGUUGAAUAAGCUGACACCUUGACGGUACCUAACCAGAAAGCCACGGCUAACUACGUGCCAGCCGCCGCCGUAA